CCUACGGGAGGCAGCAGUGGGGAAUAUUGGACAAUGGGCGAAAGCCUAAUCCAGCCAUGCCGCGUGUGUGAAGAAGGCCUUCGGGUUGUAAAGCACUUUCAGUGGGGAAGAAAGCCUUGGGGCUAAUACCCUCGAGGAAGGACAUCACCCACAGAAGAAGCACCGGCUAACUCCGUGCCAGCAGCCGCGGUAAUACGGAGGGUGCGAGCGUUAAUCGGAAUUACUGGGCGUAAAGCGCGCGUAGGCGGUCUGAUAAGCCGGUUGUGAAAGCCCCGGGCUCAACCUGGGAACGGCAUCCGGAACUGGCAGGGUAGGGUGCAGGAGAGGAAGGUAGAAUUCCCGGGUGAGCGGUGAAAUGCGUAGGGGUCGGGAGGAAUACCAGUGGGGAAGGCGGCCUUCUGGACUGACACUGACGCUGAGGUGCGAAAGCGUGGGUAGCAAACAGGAAUAGGUACCCUUGUAGUC
rnacentral:rRNA from 1 species